rnacentral:rRNA from 1 species
GAUUAUGGCUCAGGACGAACGCUGGCGGCGUGCUUAACACAUGCAAGUCGAGCGAUGAAGUCCUUCGGGAAUGGAUUAGCGGCGGACGGGUGAGUAACACGUGGGUAGCCUGCCUCAUAGAGGGGAAUAGCCUUUCGAAAGGAAGAUUAAUACCGCAUAAGAUUGUAGUACCGCAUGGUACAGCAAUUAAAGGAGUAAUCCGCUAUGAGAUGGACCCGCGUCGCAUUAGCUAGUUGGUGAGGUAACGGCUCACCAAGGCGACGAUGCGUAGCCGACCUGAGAGGGUGAUCGGCCACAUUGGGACUGAGACACGGCCCAGACUCCUACGGGAGGCAGCAGUGGGGAAUAUUGCACAAUGGGGGAAACCCUGAUGCAGCCAACGCCGCGUGAGUGAUGACGGUCUUCGGAUUGUAAAGCUCUGUCUUCAGGGACGAUAAUGACGGUACCUGAGGAGGAAGCCACGGCUAACUACGUGCCAGCCGCCGC